CAAUAGCGUAUAUUUAAGUUGCUGCAGUUAAAAAGCUCGUAGUUGGAUUUCGGGUGGGAAUGGCCGGUCCGCCGUUUCGGUGUGCACUUGCUACGCCCACCUUGCUGCCGGGGACGUGCUCUUGAGUUCACGCUCGGGACACGGAGUCGGCGAGGUUACUUUGAGUAAAUUAGAGUGUUCAAAGCAGGCCUACGCUCUGAAUACAUUAGCAUGGAAUAACACGAUAGGACUCUGGCCUAUCUGGUUGGUCUGUAGGACCGGAGUAAUGAUUAAGAGGGACAGUCGGGGGCAUUCGUAUUUCAUUGUCAGAGGUGAAAUUCUUGGAUUUAUGAAAGACGAACUACUGCGAAAGCAUUUGCCAAGGAUGUUUUCAUUAA
rnacentral:rRNA from 1 species